rnacentral:rRNA from 1 species
UACGAAGGGGGCUAGCGUUGUUCGGAAUCACUGGGCGUAAAGGGCGCGUAGGCGGCCGAUCAAGUCGGGGGUGAAAGCCUGUGGCUCAACCACAGAAUUGCCUUCGAUACUGUUUGGCUUGAGACCGGAAGAGGUUAGUGGAACUGCGAGUGUAGAGGUGAAAUUCGUAGAUAUUCGCAAGAACACCAGUGGCGAAGGAGGCUGACUGGUCCGGUUCUGACGCUGAGGCGCGAAAGCGUGGGGAGCAAACAGG